AUUGAACGCUGGCGGCAGGCCUAACACAUGCAAGUCGAACGAGUGGCGGACGGGUGAGUAAUGUCUGGGAAACUGCCUGAUGGAGGGGGAUAACUACUGGAAACGGUAGCUAAUACCGCAUACCAUCAGAUGUGCCCAGAUGGGAUUAGCUAGUUGGUGGGGUAACGGCUCACCAAGGCGACGAUCCCUAGCUGGUCUGAGAGGAUAACCAGCCAAACUGGAACUGAGACACGGUGCAGAGUCCUACGGAAGGCAGCAGUGGAAAAUAUUGCACAAGGGGCGCAAGCCUGAUGCAGCCAUGCCGCGUGAAUGAAGAAGACCUUCGGGUUGUAAAGUACUUUCAGCGGGGAAGCGUUACCCGCAGAAGAAGCACCGGCUAACUCCGUGCCAGCAGCCGCGGUAAUUC
rnacentral:rRNA from 1 species